rnacentral:rRNA from 1 species
ACAGCCCAGCGCAUAAUCUCCCGGGCUACCAAGCCCGCGGCRAAAUGUUGCGUAAAGGGAAAGGUCGGUACAAAGCCCUGCACAGCGUGUUUGUCCUAAAUACGAUUUGAAUAUUCGCGGUGAUUUAACGAUUACCUCGGUUCCACAGAGGGUGACAGACCCGUGUGGACCACGUGAAUAUGUGCGUGGGUUCGGCUUAUAUUCCCUGAGAGUCGCGUUGCUUGAGCUUGCAGCGCUAAUCCGGUCGUARACUCGACCUAAGGCUAAAUAUAUCCACAGAACCGAUAGUAAACAAGUACCGUGAGGGAAAGUUGAAAAGCACUCUGAAGAGAGAGUUAAAAGACCGUGAAACCGCUUAGAGUAUAAGCCAAUGGUAUUCGGAAGGCUGGGAUUGCCAGACUGAAUUAUCAUGUUAUCGGUAUCGUAUGCAAUGCAUCGUAGUUGACGAGAAGGGACUUGAGUGGACUACCACCUAUUAACUUGCGGGUCAUGUUGAUGAGGAAGGAGUAUUUAUGAGUACACCUUCUAUCGUGACUUUUGCAAGCGGUCAAUGAGUUGCAAUACGAGUAAUCCUAAAACAGCCCACCACAACUCUUUAUGAGGUCACCCACAUGCGCACGCGUAUGUUGUCUUCGGGCGAGCACUUGGUUUCGGUUAGCUUUUGCCGGCCGUUGAUUUCACGUGUGUCCAACAUGUGUUUGGUGAUCCUCUGUGAAGGUUGCGUUUCUGACCAUCCUCUAACUGACAAAUCGUUGCGUUGGGCUCGAUACCUGCCGGCUAAGUGGGUUCCCGCAAGGUUAGAGGAUGAUUUGGUGUCUAAUUCCGGGGCCAUUGGUCACGUCUCGAAACACGGGCCAAGGAGCAUAGCAUGUGUGCAAGUCCAAGGGUCUCACAAAACCCGAAGGCGAAGUGAAAGCAAGUGGUGUGUCCGUGUCUUCGGACGCGGGCAGCUCGAUGAUGUGCGCAAUUCCUGCGAGCGGAUGAAUGCGUGAUCCGGCUCAAAACCGGGUUGAUCCGACGCAAUCAAGACAUUUGUCGAUGCGUUGGCGCAAACCCCAGGCUCUCAGUAUAGCAUGUUACGUGUUUGGGAGCACUGUGUAGCUKGCAUGCUAUGACCCGAAAGAUGGUGAACUAUGCUUGGCGA